rnacentral:rRNA from 1 species
UCGGGAAUUUUGGGCAGUGGGCGAAAGCCUGACCCAGCAACGCCGCGUGAGGGAUGAAGUAUUUCGGUAUGUAAACCUCGAAAGAAUGGGAAGAAUAAAUGACGGUACCAUUUAUAAGCUCCGGCUAACUACGUGCCAGCAGCCGCGGUAAUACGUAGGGAGCAAGCGUUGUUCGGAUUUACUGGGCGUAAAGAGUGCGUAGGCGGCGAGCCAAGUUUGGUGUGAAAUCUCCCGGCUUAACCGGGAGGGUGCGCCGAAAACUGGUUGGCUGGAGUAUGGGAGAGGAAAGCGGAAUUCCUGGUGUAGCGGUGAAAUGCGUAGAUAUCAGGAGGAACACCUGCGGUGUAGACAGCUUUCUGGACCAAAACUGACGCUGAGGCACGAAAGCGUGGGUAGCAAACA